UACGUAGGGGGCAAGCGUUGUCCGGAUUUAUUGGGCGUAAAGAGCGUGUAGGCGGCUUGGUAGGUCCGCUGUGAAAACUCGAGGCUCAACCUCCAGACGUCGACGGAAACCGUGUGGCUAGAGUCCGGAAGAGGAGAAUGGAAUUCCUGGUGUAGCGGUGAAAUGCGCAGAUAUCAGGAAGAACACCCGUGGCGAAGGCGGCUCUCUGGGACGGUACUGACGCUGAGACGCGAAAGCGUGGGGAGCGAACAGG
rnacentral:rRNA from 1 species